rnacentral:rRNA from 1 species
UAGGGAAUCUUCGGCAAUGGACGAAAGUCUGACCGAGCAACGCCGCGUGAGUGAAGAAGGUUUUCGGAUCGUAAAACUCUGUUGUUAGAGAAGAACAAGGACGUUAGUAACUGAACGUCCCCUGACGGUAUCUAACCAGAAAGCCACGGCUAACUACGUGCCAGCAGCCGCGGUAAUACGUAGGUGGCAAGCGUUGUCCGGUUUUAUUGGGCGUAAAGCGAGCGCAGGCGGUUUCUUAAGUCUGAUGUGAAAGCCCCCGGCUCAACCGGGGAGGGUCAUUGGAAACUGGGAGACUUGAGUGCAGAAGAGGAGAGUGGACUUCCAUGUGUAGCGGUGAAAUGCGUAGAUAUAUGGAGGAACACCGGUGGCGAAGGCGGCUCUCUGGUCUGUAGCUGACGCUGAGGCUCGAAAGCGUGGGGAGCAAACAGG